GAUGAACGCUGGCGGCGUGCCUAAUACAUGCAAGUCGAGCGAACAGACGAGGAGCUUGCUCCUCUGACGUUAGCGGCGGACGGGUGAGUAACACGUGGAUAACCUACCUAUAAGACUGGGAUAACUUCGGGAAACCGGAGCUAAUACCGGAUAAUAUAUUGAACCGCAUGGUUCAAUAGUGAAAGACGGUUUUGCUGUCACUUAUAGAUGGAUCCGCGCCGCAUUAGCUAGUUGGUAAGGUAACGGCUUACCAAGGCAACGAUGCGUAGCCGACCUGAGAGGGUGAUCGGCCACACUGGAACUGAGACGCGGUCCAGACUCCUACGGGAGGCAGCAGUAGGGAAUCUUCCGCAGUGGGGGAAAGCCUGACGGAGCAACGCCGCGUGAGUGAUGAAGGUCUUCGGAUCGUAAAACUCUGUUAUUAGGGAAGAACAAAUGUGUAAGUAACUAUGCACGUCUUGACGGUACCUAAUCAGAAAGCCACGGCUAACUACGUG
rnacentral:rRNA from 1 species